rnacentral:rRNA from 1 species
UACGUAGGGGGCAAGCGUUGUCCGGAUUUAUUGGGCGUAAAGCGCACGCAGGCGGUCUCUUAAGUUUCGAGUGACAGGUCAGGGCUUAACCCUGGCAGGCCUUGGAAAACUGGGGGACUUGAGGGCUUCAGAGGGACGCGGAAUUCCAGGUGGAGCGGUGAAAUGCGUAGAUAUCGGGAGGAAUACCAGUGGCGAAGGCGGCGAUCUGGGAAGAUACUGACGCUGAGGUGCGAAAGCGUGGGGAGCAAACAGG